ACACUUACUUUGAUGUAUCU
rnacentral:snRNA from 1 species